CAUAUCAAAUUUUAUUUUUGUAAUUCGAAAAUACUUUUUGAAACUAUUUUUAUAAUUUUUAUUUUCAAAAUUUUAAUAUUUAUUUUUUAUUUUAUAAAAUUUUAAACCUUAAUCCCAAAUCUCCACCGCUUAACUCUAAACCCUAAGGUUUGGAUUAGUUAAUCCUAGGGGUAUAAAUGUAUAUUUACCUCUUUAAUGAAACAUUUUGGUCAUUUUUCUCCUUGUAGUCUUUUUUAGUUCUAUCCUAGGGUAUUUCUCAAAUAUUUUUUUCCAAUAAUUUUGAAAAUUUUAAUUUCCAAAACUUGUGAACUCAUUAAUACCUUGAAAAUAUAAGUUAAAUAUGGAUUUUGUUGUUUGUUGCUUGCAAGUUUGCAAAAACCUGUUGACUGACAAUUUCAUAUUUUCUAGGUGGAAAUACAGUACAAUCUCGUGAUCUAUUAUAAAUUUUUGCUUGGCGAUUUUCAAGUCGAAUUUGAUGUGUUAAUCAAAUCAUACUUGAUUAUGUUCUUCAUGUUUCUUAUCCUUUUCGAGUUGGUUUGAUUUAAUAAAGUUUCGUUUUCUCUCUUUUCUCCUCUAUGUUUCAAAUCAAAUCCCAUUUGAUACUCAAGUGAUUUGAGCUUGUUGAUAUCGAUGGCGAUAGAGAGGAGGAAGAAUGCAAGUGGUAGCGGGUUACGCCAGCACAAAAUCUUCGCUAGAAGAGUUUCGUGGAGGAGGCUGCGGAGGAGAAGCAUAGCGGUGGGCCGAAGAUCGAGAGUCCUGCAUGUUUGGCGCGUAUUUUCAGCCUCUUUAGAAGCUGCACGUGAACACAUAAAGAUAACUCUUUUGAUUGGGAUUUAAAUUUUGUUGUCUUGUUGGGUUUGAAAUGUUAAACCGAUUUUCACUUGUAUUUAUACUUAUCCAUUGGGCUUUAUCAACGAAGUUGUUGGGUUGACAAAAAAAAAAUAAGUUUUUUUUAAACUUUAAAAUAAACAAGUUGAUAAUGAAUUCUUGGAAAAUGAGAAAGUUUGGCAUUUUAGGACCGUACAAAAUUGUGCAUAGAGUGUAUGGAUCGGAUCAGGCUUGGACCAAUGUUAAGCCUAUGAAAAUGUAUUUGACUUUCGGUUUGCUAAACUGAGGGGAGAAAUUUCCAAAACAACUAAAACUAAUAAAAAUCUAUCUAUUUUAUUAAAAGAAAAGUACAAAUAAGAAAUAAUCCUAAAACUUACAAUUUAUUUACAAUGCAAUGCCACUGAAUUAAUUUUUUAACCUACCUUAAAUAUUUAUGUGUCUUUUUUCUGUUCAUUAAUGCAUUUUCCUAAAUCAAAUUUUAACCCAAAAAAUAAUACGGCAACAAUCAGUUAACAAAAUGAAAUUGACAUUGCUCUUAUACGGAUAUUACUUUCCACACUUUCAAAUGUUCAGUCUACUGUUAUGGAUGUACAUAACUUUCUUAAGUCAUUGAUAUACGUAACUUUCAAAUUGACAUAGCUUUCUUUUAAUAUAAGCCACAACAAUUUAUCUUUUUUGUUCUUCUUCACCUAUAGCUAGCUGAUGGAACUUGUAUACAGAGCAAUGGAAGAUUUAAGUUAGUUAUUUUUUUUAUCCUUUCUAAACAAACAAAAUCAAUAUAUUCAAAAUCCAAACAAAGUAGACAAAUUAAUAUAUUCAUACAUAUAUAUUAUUAAUUUUUAUAUUAGAUACAAACCAACAUAUUCAUAUGUAUAUAUAUAUAUAUAUAUAUAUUUAUUUUUGUAUUAAAUUCAAACCAACUAUACAAAUCAAUAUGUACAUUCAUGCGUAUAUAUUAAUUUAGUUAUUUUUUACCCCAAUUUUUUCGUAGCCUUUCUAAAUAAAAAAAUCAAUAUAUGAAAAUCCAAACUAUAAUAUAUUUCUUAGUCCCUCCAUACGUAUAUAUCAAUGCGGAAUCUUUAUUAUAACAUUAAGAUUUAGAAACUAAAACACACAAAAACAAUUAUAAUGUUACCUAUUACUAAAUCACAUGAUUUGUUUCCAAACUCAUUUUUUCCCUCGACAUGUAUAAAAUCAAUCCAAAAAAUCUACACCUUCUGUAUAUCGAUAAAUUAGUUCCAAAAAUAUCUAUAUUGAAUACUAUGAAUAAUUAGCAUCCACACUAUUGCCUAAAUUUGUGCUAACCAAUAUAUUUUAUACAAAAUUUACGUGAUUUUCCUUGCAAAGCUGUUGAAAUAUAUUUUCUACUCUAGUGUUUUUUUUGGUAAAAAAUGUUAAGAUUUCAUUACCAGUUUUAAGUUUUUUUACAGACUUGACAAAGAUAACUAGUAGCAGACUUGCAAAAUAAAACUAACAGAAACUCAAACCUAAGGAAACAAAUGAAAUGACUCAAGCACAUACGCAGUACACGAAGGAUACAUCGGAGAGGAACCGUCACUUGCCACAGAAUCGACCCGCAGUUAUAGCGAGAGCUGGACCCGGAAGAGUUUGGCAUACCCGGUGACCAGUUCUUUAUGAUCGGGUUGUCAAAAACAGCUCGCUAAGCCCUCCCAGUCAGCAGACUUCAUAUCCCUAUUAUAUAUAGUUUCACUUGAUUUACACCAAAUAAUAAGAUAGAGAGAGAAAGAGAGUAUUUCAAAAAAACGUUCAACUACAGACACAUUAAAAAAAUAUUUGGUUAUUAACUCGACAGAAAUACAUGUUUUGUUAUUAGGUUUUCCGGACAACAAUCGGUUUUAAAUAGGCUUUGAACUAAUGGACCACUAACAAUUUAAUAUUACGAAAAUUAUUAAAUGAAAUAUACACAAACUUAAUCCCAUUAUUAAUUUAUUAUCUGUUAAAUUAAAUUUAUAUUUUUAUUUUUAUUUUCUUACAAAUUAUAAUCUUUAUUUGUUUUAUGUUACAAAUUUGAUAGAAGUUGAACAAUCUUUUAUUUUCUCAUAAAUGUUAUAACUAAUGUAUCAGUUUAAAUAGCAUACUAGCUCAUAGUUGUCUAUUGCUGGUACUUUUAAUUCAGAAAAAAAUGUUUUCUAUAUAUCCUAGAAAAAAGUCUAAUUAUAUAAAUUUUGGCAUUUUUAUAUGAUAUCCAAUAUAGGUGAUAUAUAAUUUACUGUAAAACGCAAAAAAAAAAAAAAAAUACUCGAUGUAGUUCAAAAAAUGUUAUCUUUCGAAUGUUAUAUUAUAAAAUUAAUGUAAUACGAUUAAAUUUUACAACUACAAUAUUUAGUACAAAUAAAAAUAAAAAAUGAAAAUAAAUAUAUGCGCGGUUACGCGGAUCAAGGUCUAGUUAUUUUAUUAAUUGAGAGUAUUUUUAACUGGUCCCAAAGACUAAGUAAAUUCUAACUUCAACAU